UACGUAGGGGGCUAGCGUUGUCCGGAAUCAUUGGGCGUAAAGCGCGUGUAGGCGGUCCGGUAAGUCCGCUGUGAAAGUCGAGGGCUCAACCCUCGAAUGCCGGUGGAUACUGUCGGGCUAGAGUGCGGAAGAGGCGACUGGAAUUCCUGGUGUAGCGGUGAAAUGCGCAGAUAUCAGGAGGAACACCGAUGGCGAAGGCAGGUCUCUGGGCAUUAACUGACGCUGAGGAGCGAAAGCAUGGGGAGCGAACAGG
rnacentral:rRNA from 1 species